UCCCUAGUCAUACUUAUAUAUACACCGUGUUUUUAUUGAAUUCCGUUAACUUCGGGGUAUGGUUAAGUACGUUUAAGAGAACUAAAUGGCAUAGUUAAUUUUUUGCUUUUUUUUUACAAAAAAUAAUAAGUUUGAAAAGUAAUUAAAUGUAGCAUAUAGCGUCGUUGUAACACGGGCAUUACAUUUAACUCAACCAAACAAUUGAAAUCUGUGACAUAUCAAUGUCAUUUCGAACAUCGAUCGACCGAGAUUAUACUUAAGUUUAGUAGCAAAUGUAUGAACUCAUUCUAAACACUAAUCAAUAUGUAAACCGGCCCUAAGGCAAGUGUACACGCUUGUAGAGGCCUUAUAGGAAAAAAAUAAAUUAUUGAUUAUCUGCGAAAUGGAGUUAAUUAGAAUAUCGGUGUCUUUGAGAAAGUUACUUAAUUUAAGCUCAGGAAUGCACCCUUGAAAUUAACGGAAAUCAAAAAAAACACGCCUAUAUACGUCCCACUGCUGGGCACAGGCCUCCUCUCAUGCGCGAGAGGGCUUGGGCUAUAGUCCCCACGCUAGCCCAAUGCGGAUUGGGGACUUCACAUACAGCUUUGAAUUUCUUCGCAGAUGUAUGCAGGUUUCCUCACGAUGUUUUCCUUCACCGAAAAGCUAGUGGUAAAUAUCAAAUGAUAUUUCGUAUAUAAGUUCAAAAAAACUCAUUGGUACGAGCCAGGAUUUGAACCCGCGACCUCCAGAUUGAAAGUCGGACGUCAUAUCCACUCGGCCACCA